rnacentral:rRNA from 1 species
UUACGGCCACAUCACGUUGAAGCACAGGUUCCCUUACGAUCACAGAAGUUAAGCAACGUCGAGCUUGGUUAGUACCUAAAUGGUUGAUAGCUUGGAAAUACCAGGUGCUGUAAG